rnacentral:rRNA from 1 species
GAUGAACGCUGGCGGCGUGCCUAAUACAUGCAAGUCGAGCGAACAGACGAGGAGCUUGCUCCUCUGACGUUAGCGGCGGACGGGUGAGUAACACGUGGAUAACCUACCUAUAAGACUGGGAUAACUUCGGGAAACCGGAGCUAAUACCGGAUAAUAUAUUGAACCGCAUGGUUCAAUAGUGAAAGACGGUUUUGCUGUCACUUAUAGAUGGAUCCGCGCCGCAUUAGCUAGUUGGUAAGGUAACGGCUUACCAAGGCAACGAUGCGUAGCCGACCUGAGAGGGUGAUCGGCCACACUGGAACUGAGACACGGUCCAGACUCCUACGGGAGCCAGCAGUAGGGAAUCUUCCGCAAUGGGCGAAAGCUUGCCGGAGCAACGCCGCGUGAGUGAUGAAGGUCUUCGGAUCGUAAAACUCUGUUAUUAGGGAAGAACAAAUGUGUAAGUAACUAUGCACGUCUUGACGGUACCUAAUCAGAAAGCCACGGCUAACUACGUG